AAGUCGUAACAAGGUUUCCGUAGGUGAACCUGCGGAAGGAUCAUUAACACGUAUCCAAACGUUAACCCCCCUGUGAACCUUUAGUGUGCUCGUACGCUUUGUCAGAGCGUGGCAAUCCCUAGUAAAUCAUCGCCGAACAGUUUUCGAUUUAGGGACUUCCACAAAGAGUGUGCUCGUAGCGCGAGGCAAGUGGCCUGGCAUUCCCAAGCAGUUGGUGUCUGAAAGUGUCACUGGCUGUGCAAGGAUAGCGCUUCUACGAUUCCUGUAGACCGUACACUCGGGUAGGAGCUUUGCCAAAGGGUCCCCAUGCCCCCUAAUAACCCCACAGUUUAAUGUGAAGCUCAAUGUAAUACAUUGGGUAAAAAAACCGAACAACUGUUAACAAUGGAUAUCAUGGUUCUC
rnacentral:misc_RNA from 1 species